CUGUCCACAGAUCGAGCGCGAUGAAAUGGACAUGACAAUCGAUAGCGCCGGCUGUAAGGAUGAGCUUCUCGCCUGCAAUGACCUCGGUGUUGCUGCCUACGAUCAUGCCGUCCGUAACGCCAUGCAUAACAUCGGGAUUGCCUGCCUUGCCAAUACCAGCAAUGAGACCUUUCUUGAUGCCGACAUCUGCCUUGAAUAUGCCAGAAUGAUCAACAAUGAGCGCAUUCGUGAUGACGCUGUCGAGCGUCUCUGCAUCUGUUCGACCCGUAGCUUGACCCAUCCCAUCUCGCAA
rnacentral:sRNA from 1 species